GCCGGGGUGGUGAAACUGGUAGACGCGCUGGACUCAAAAUCCAGUUCCCAUUAGGGAGUGAGGGUUCGAGUCCCUCUCCCGGCA
rnacentral:tRNA from 1 species